rnacentral:rRNA from 1 species
GAGUUUGAUCGUGGCUCAGAGCGAACGCUGGCGGCAGGCCUAACACAUGCAAGUCGAACGAACUCUUCGGAGUUAGUGGCGGACGGGUGAGUAACACGUGGGAACGUGCCUUUUGGUUCGGAAUAACUCAGGGAAACUUGUGCUAAUACCGAAUGUGCCCUUCGGGGAAGAUUUAUCGCCAUUAGAGCGGCCGCGUCUGAUUAGCUAGUUGGUGAGGUAAAGGCUCACCAAGGCGACGAUCAGUAGCUGGUCUGAGAGGAUGAUCAGCCACAUUGGGACUGAGACACGGCCCAAACUCCUACGGGAGGCAGCAGUGGGGAAUCUUGCGCAAUGGGCGAAAGCCUGACGCAGCCAUGCCGCGUGAAUGAUGAAGGUCUUAGGAUUGUAAAAUUCUUUCACCGGGGACGAUAAUGACGGUACCCGGAGAAGAAGCCCGGCUAACUUCGUGCCAGCAGCCGCCGUAAU